UUCUUGUAAUUCCAUGAUGAUAUAUGAUAGCAUUCAAAAGGGCUUAUUAUACUCUGAGGAUGGCAAU
rnacentral:tRNA from 1 species